rnacentral:rRNA from 1 species
GCCAGCAGCCAUAUUAUCACCCUGCAACUCGGCACACUGGCAGCACACUGAAGCUCAGCAGGUGUGAGCCUGGCCUGUACUUGGAUGGGAGACCCCCUGGGAAAGCCAAGGUUGCUGCUGGAA